rnacentral:rRNA from 1 species
UACGGAGGGUGCAAACGUUGUCCGGAAUCACUGGGCGUAAAGCGCAUGUAGGUGGUUUGGUAAGUGGACGAUUAAAGACCGAUGCUUAACAUCGGGAAUGUUGUCUAUACUGCCUGACUCGAGAAUGACAGGGGUAAGCGGAACUUUAGGUGUAGGAGUGAAAUCCGUAGAUAUCUAAAGGAACACCAAUGGCGAAGGCAGCUUACUGGGUCCUUUCUGACACUGAGAUGCGAAGGCGUGGGGAGCAAACGGG